UUAAUUGAAGAGUUUGAUCAUGGCUCAGAUUGAACGCUGGCGGCAGGCCUAACACAUGCAAGUCGAGCGGUAACAGAAAGAAAGCUUGCUUUCUUUGCUGACGAGCGGCGGACGGGUGAGUAAUGCCUGGGAAUAUACCCUGAUGUGGGGGAUAACUAUUGGAAACGAUAGCUAAUACCGCAUAAUCUCUUCGGAGCAAAGAGGGGGACCUUCGGGCCUC
rnacentral:rRNA from 1 species